rnacentral:rRNA from 1 species
AACGAACGCUGGCGGCAGGCUUAACACAUGCAAGUCGAGCGCCCCGCAAGGGGAGCGGCAGACGGGUGAGUAACGCGUGGGAAUAUACACAUCUCUACGGAAUAACGCAUGGAAACGUGUGCCAAUACCGUAUACGUCCUUCGGGAGAAAGAUUUAUCGGAGAUGGAUGAGCCCGCGUUGGACUAGCUAGUUGGUGGGGUAAAGGCCUACCAAGGCGACGAUCCAUAGCUGGUCUGAGAGGAUGCUCAGCCACACUGGGACUGAGACACGGCCCAGACUCCUACGGGAGGCAGCAGUGGGGAAUAUUGGACAAUGGGCGCAAGCCUGAUCCAGCCAUGCCGCGUGAGUGAUGAAGGCCCUAGGGUUGUAAAGCUCUUUCACCGGUGAAGAUAAUGACGGUAACCGGAGAAGAAGCCCCGGCUAACUUCGUGCCAGCCGCCGCCGUAAGAC